rnacentral:rRNA from 1 species
ACGUAGGUAGCGAGCGUUGUUCGGAUUUAUUGGGCGUAAAGGGUCCGCAGGGGGCCGAUUAAGUCUGAUGUGAAAUACCAAGGCUCAACCUUGGAACUGCAUUGGAAACUGAUUGGCUAGAGCAUCGGAGAGGAGAAUGGAAUUCCAGGUGUAGCGGUGGAAUGCGUAGAUAUCUGGAAGAACACCGAAGGCGAAGGCAGUUCUCUGGACGAUUGCUGACCCUCAGGGACGAAAGCAUGGGGAGCAAACAG